CAACUUCCCAGACCCCGAUUCUGUGUUUCCCCUCCAAUUCCCCUGCUCCCCCUCCUCCCAGAAAUGGAGGAAACUGCGAGGCCAUGGUGAUGCUGCCUUGUUUAGUAAAAGAAAAUGUGAAAAAGAUUAAGGCGGAUCAAUCAAAAUGUCAGCCUGAUCUUGAACUGUUGGAAAAGAAGCCUUGUUUUUAUUCAAGUGUGUCACAAAGACCUGGGUGACCUUGUUUUGCAAGUGAAAACCUUUGACUGUGACAUAGGCAUGCUUCUUGUGUCCAGCUCUUAUUUAGCAAAUAAACUAAAAGUACUGCCUAUGUUUAUGGUAAACAACUGAUUUGGUUCUACUAAAAAAAAAUAAUAAAAAAACAAUUACAGCUGGAUAAUGUAGAACCAGAUUAGGUUUCUUUUAUAUUUGUUGUCACCAAAUGCUCCCAAUCUUUCUGAGCUCUGAGGCUCGUUAAGUAGAUGUUUUAAAAUGGUGCAACAGACAACGCAGCUGUAUUUCAUUUGUAGAUAAUUGAUGCAAUACAUGUAAUAACCCAACUGGAUAUGUUGACUCAUGAGCUAAUUUAGGUGUAGAUGUUACAGCACUUGUGCAGCUGGAAAUGUUGCCAUCACACAAAUCAGUUGCAGAUUAAUGGAGUCAGGUCCCUGUCUGCACUAGGAAGAGAUAAAAGGACACAGUCAAAUAUAAAAACAAGUUCUGAAGAGUUAUUGUUACCUGCACCCCUUGCCUCCUUUGCCUUAUCUUUGAAAAAAGGCAAUCACAGGCUGUUUACCUUUCAGUGUGGUAUGGUGAACAUCCGCAAAACAACUGAAAACACUUUAUAG
rnacentral:lncRNA from 1 species